GAGAUUAACAUAUAGACUUACCAUUUUCCAUCAACACUGGCCGGCAUUAUUUGUGAAAAAAAUGUUGAGAUUCCAAAAGCGUUUAUAAAGAAGAGGACGGAGAAAAACUCGCUACCCGAGCUGGAAAUCGAGUGAUAUUUUCCCAAUGUUUGAAAACACCAAUUACUUACAUUGUCUUGAAUCUUCUAGGUUGUAUUGCAUUGCUAUUUGCAGCGCUUCACGCUUUGCACGAAGUAUGUAGCGGAGGAGUUCCGUC